rnacentral:rRNA from 1 species
UACGUAGGGUGCGAGCGUUGUCCGGAAUUAUUGGGCGUAAAGAGCUCGUAGGCGGUCUGUCGCGUCGAAUGUGAAAACCCGGGGCUCAACUCCGGGCUUGCAUUCGAUACGGGCAGGCUAGAGUUCGGUAGGGGAGUCUGGAAUUCCUGGUGUAGCGGUGAAAUGCAUAGAUAUCACGCAGAACACCGAUUGCGAAGGCAGGUGACUGGGACGCGACUGACGCUGAGGCACGAAAGUGUGGGGAGCAAACAGG